AUACUUACCUGGCAGGGGAGAUAUCAUGAUCACGAGGGUGGUUUUCCCAGGGCAAGGCUCACUCAUUGCACUCCAGGUGUGCUGACCUCUGCGAUUUCCCCAAAUGCGGAAAACUCGACUGCAUUAUUUGUGGUAGUGGAGGACUGUGUUCGCGCUUUCUUCUA
ensembl:snRNA U1 U1 spliceosomal RNA